AACCAUAUGAAGUCCGUGAGAUCGACGAAGAGUUUGCGAUCAAUUAGAUCAGUUCGUACGGCAAGGUCUGGUAAAAUUUUUGAUGGUAACAUGCAAAGCUUGGAUAAUAUGAUACUUAUGGCCUGUGCGAAGUUUAAUUGUCCAUACAUUGUGACUGUGAGGAAAGAAACGAAGCAGGAACUAAAAAUAACAAACAUUAAACAAUUACCGCAAAUACUUCUCAAGAUA
rnacentral:misc_RNA from 1 species